AGAGUUUGAUCAUGGCUCAGAGCGAACGCUGGCGGCAGGCCUAACACAUGCAAGUCGAACGGACCCUUCGGGGUUAGUGGCGGACGGGUGAGUAACACGUGGGAACGUGCCUUUAGGUUCGGAAUAGCUCCUGGAAACGGGUGGUAAUGCCGAAUGUGCCCUUCGGGGGAAAGAUUUAUCGCCUUUAGAGCGGCCCGCGUCUGAUUAGCUAGUUGGUGGGGUAAUGGCCCACCAAGGCUACGAUCAGUAGCUGGUCUGAGAGGAUGACCAGCCACAUUGGGACUGAGACACGGCCCAAACUCCUACGGGAGGCAGCAGUGGGGAAUCUUGCGCAAUGGGCGAAAGCCUGACGCAGCCAUGCCGCGUGUAUGAUGAAGGUCUUAGGAUUGUAAAAUACUUUCACCGGUGAAGAUAAUGACUGUAGCCGGAGAAGAAGCCCCGGCUAACUUCGUG
rnacentral:rRNA from 1 species